rnacentral:lncRNA from 1 species
UGAGUGACGAGUGCAGAUAGUUGUUAGAGAAUAACUAGUACUGAGCGUGACUAUACAAGAGAUCAUUAGGAUUUUUAUUUGAUCGUCAGUGAUUGUCUCGAUGCUAUAGUUGUGUGAUUGAUCUUUUGACCUGAGAUAGUACUACCGCUCACAGUGACGCUGCUGGAGAUUGAUUGACACAUAAACAUGGGUCCCAAUGAGCCCUUAUAGUGGAUAUUGACAAUAGUUGAUCCACCGU